rnacentral:rRNA from 1 species
GAUGCAGCAACGCCGCGUGAGGGAUGACGGCCUUCGGGUUGUAAACCUCUUUUAGCAGGGAAGAAGCGAAAGUGACGGUACCUGCAGAAAAAGCGCCGGCUAACUACGUGCCAGCAGCCGCGGUAAUACGUAGGGCGCAAGCGUUAUCCGGAAUUAUUGGGCGUAAAGAGCUCGUAGGCGGUUUGUCGCGUCUGCUGUGAAAUCCCGAGGCUCAACCUCGGGCCUGCAGUGGGUACGGGCAGACUAGAGUGCGGUAGGGGAGAUUGGAAUUCCUGGUGUAGCGGUGGAAUGCGCAGAUAUCAGGAGGAACACCGAUGGCGAAGGCAGAUCUCUGGGCCGUAACUGACGCUGAGGAGCGAAAGGGUGGGGAGCAAACAGGCUUAGAUACCCUGGUAGUCCACCCCGUAAACGUUGGGAACUAGUUGUGGGGUCCAUUCCACGGAUUCCGUGACGCAGCUAACGCAUUAAGUUCCCCGCCUGGGGAGUACGGCCGCAAGGCUAAAACUCAAAGGAAUUGACGGGGACCCGCACAAGCGGCGGAGCAUGCGGAUUAAUUCGAUGCAACGCGAAGAACCUUACCAAGGCUUGACAUAUACGAGAACGGGCCAGAAAUGGUCAACUCUUUGGACACUCGUAAACAGGUGGUGCAUGGUUGUCGUCAGCUCGUGUCGUGAGAUGUUGGGUUAAGUCCCGCAACGAGCGCAACCCUCGUUCUAUGUUGCCAGCACGUAAUGGUGGGAACUCAUGGGAUACUGCCGGGGUCAACUCGGAGGAAGGUGGGGAUGACGUCAAAUCAUCAUGCCCCUUAUGUCUUGGGCUUCACGCAUGCUACAAUGGCCGGUACAAAGGGCUGCAAUACCGUGAGGUGGAGCGAAUCCCAAAAAGCCGGUCCCAGUUCGGAUUGAGGUCUGCAACUCGACCUCAUGAAGUCGGAGUCGCUAGUAAUCGCAGAUCAGCAAC